GACGAACGCUGGCGGCGUGCCUAACACAUGCAAGUCGAACGAAGCACUGUGUGUUGAGACUUCGGUUGAUUCACACUUUGACUUAGUGGCGGACGGGUGAGUAAUGCGUGAGCAACCUGCCCUUCAGAGGGGGACAACAGUUGGAAACGACUGCUAAUACCGCAUAAUGUAUAGAGGGGGCAUCCCUUUUAUACCAAAGAUUUUAUCGCUGAAAGAUGGGCUCACGUCUGAUUAGUUAGUUGGUGAGGUAACGGCUCACCAAGACCGCGAUCAGUAGCCGGACUGAGAGGUUGAACGGCCACAUUGGGACUGAGAUACGGCCCAG
rnacentral:rRNA from 1 species